AUGCCGCCGGCGUGGCCGGAUUCGACGCGCCGCUGCUCACAGCGGCGGCAAGCAGGUUCCGUGCCGCCGCGGCUGCC
rnacentral:tRNA from 1 species